rnacentral:rRNA from 1 species
AAUGGGCGAAAGCCUGAUCCAGCCAUGCCGCGUGAGUGAUGAAGGCCCUAGGGUUGUAAAGCUCUUUCGCCAGGGAAGAUAAUGACGGUACCUGGUAAAGAAACCCCGGCUAACUCCGUGCCAGCAGCCGCGGUAAUACGGAGGGGGUUAGCGUUGUUCGGAAUUACUGGGCGUAAAGCGCACGUAGGCGGAUUAAUAAGUCAGGGGUGAAAUCCCGAGGCUCAACCUCGGAACUGCCUUUGAUACUGUUAGUCUUGAGUUCGAGAGAGGUGAGUGGAAUUCCGAGUGUAGAGGUGAAAUUCGUAGAUAUUCGGAGGAACACCAGUGGCGAAGGCGGCUCACUGGCUCGAUACUGACGCUGAGGUGCGAAAGCGUGGGGAGCAAACAGGAUU